rnacentral:rRNA from 1 species
AACGAACGCUGGCGGCAUGCCUAACACAUGCAAGUCGAACGAGACCUUCGGGUCUAGUGGCGCACGGGUGCGUAACGCGUGGGAACCUGCCUUUAGGUUCGGAAUAACUCAGAGAAAUUUGAGCUAAUACCGGAUAAUAUCUUCGGACCAAAGAUUUAUCGCCUUUAGAUGGGCCCGCGUAAGAUUAGGUAGUUGGUGGGGUAAUGGCCUACCAAGCCGACGAUCUUUAGCUGGUCUGAGAGGAUGAUCAGCCACACUGGGACUGAGACACGGCCCAGACUCCUACGGGAGGCAGCAGUGGGGAAUAUUGGGCAAUGGGGGAAACCCUGACCCAGCAACGCCGCGUGAAGGAAGAAGGCCUUCGGGUUGUAAACUUCUUUUACCAGGGACGAACACAAUGACGGUACCUGGAGAAAAAGCAACGGCUAACUACGUGCCAGCAGCCGCAGUAACAC